CCUGGUGGCUCAGAGGUUAAAGCGUCUGCCUGAAAUGCAGGAGACCUGGGUUCAAUCCCUGGGUCAGGA
rnacentral:tRNA from 1 species